GGUGGUUCCCGGGUGACACACCCCGGAAUCAGACUCCCUCCUCUGUCGUUCUGGGUGCGUCACCCAAGAACCGCA
rfam:Myotis lucifugus cont2.13870, whole genome shotgun sequence.